UUAAAUUGAAGAGUUUGAUCAUGGCUCAGAUUGAACGCUGGCGGCAGGCCUAACACAUGCAAGUCGAACGGUAACAGGAAACAGCUUGCUGUUUCGCUGACGAGUGGCGGACGGGUGAGUAAUGUCUGGGAAACUGCCUGAUGG
rnacentral:rRNA from 2 species